GACGAACGCUGGCGGCGUGCUUAACACAUGCAAGUCGAACGGAAAGGCCUUUUCGGAGGUACUCGAGUGGCGAACGGGUGAGUAACACGUGGGUGAUCUGCCCUGCACUCUGGGAUAAGCCUGGGAAACUGGGUCUAAUACCGGAUAGGACCGCACUUUAGUGUGUGUGGUGGAAAGUUUUUUCGGUGUAGGAUGAGCCCGCGGCCUAUCAGCUUGUUGGUGGGGUAAUGGCGUACCAAGGCGGCGACGGGUAUCCGGACUGAGAGGUUGGUCGGCCACAUUGGGACUGAGAUACGACCCAGACUCCUGCGGGAGGCAGCAGGAGUAAAGAUUGCACAAUGGGCGCCAGCCUGAUGCAGGGACGCGGCGUGAGGGGUGACAGCCUUAGUGUUGUAAACUCCUUUCGCCAGGAACGAAGCGUUUUGUGACGGUACCUGGAGAAGAAGCACCGGCUAACUACGUG
rnacentral:rRNA from 1 species